rnacentral:rRNA from 1 species
UACAGAGGUCUCAAGCGUUGUUCGGAUUCAUUGGGCGUAAAGGGUGUGUAGGUGGCGCCGUUAGUCGGGUGUGAAAUUUCGGAGCUUAACUCCGAAACUGCAUUCGAUACUGCGGUGCUUGAGGACUGGAGAGGAGACUGGAAUUCAUGGUGUAGCAGUGAAAUGCGUAGAGAUCAUGAGGAAGACCAGUGGCGAAGGCGGCUUACUGGUCCGGUUCUGACGCUGAGGCGCGAAAGCGUGGGGAGCAAACAGG